UACGUAGGGCGCAAGCGUUAUCCGGAAUUAUUGGGCGUAAAGAGCUCGUAGGCGGUUUGUUGCGUCGGCUGUGAAAUCCCCGAGGCUCAACCUCGGGUCUGCAGUCGAUACGAGCAAACUAGAGUGUUGCAGGGGAGACUGGAAUUCCUGGUGUAGCGGUGAAAUGCGCAGAUAUCAGGAGGAACACCGGUGGCGAAGGCGGGUCUCUGGGCAACAACUGACGC
rnacentral:rRNA from 1 species